UAAGCUGAGUAACACUCAUUUCCCCUUCAAAUGUAUGGUCUGCACAAUCGAGAGCAUUCUCCUUUCUUUUCUUCAUUUUAUCUCUCCACACACACCCUCCAUUUAUCUUCUGCUACCUCUUCUCUCAUACACACAUCAAAUUAACUACACAAUCCUUUCCUUGAUUAGAAAUUGUGAGAGAGUGCAUUUGGCAGUUUUUGUCUUAAGCAAAUGAUAAGUUUGUAAGUUAGCUUAUAACUUUCUUAUGGUUUGUGAUAGUAUGUUUAUUGAUAAACGUUGCAUCAAAAUUAACGUUUAUGUUCUAAAGUUCCAUUUAUAUCC